rnacentral:rRNA from 1 species
UACGUAGGGUGCAAGCGUUACUCGGAAUUACUGGGCGUAAAGCGUGCGCAGGCGGUGAUGUAAGACAGGUGUGAAAUCCCCGGGCUUAACCUGGGAACUGCAUUUGUGACUGCAUCGCUGGAGUGCGGCAGAGGGGGGUGGAAUUCCGCGUGUAGCAGUGAAAUGCGUAGAUAUGCGGAGGAACACCGAUGGCGAAGGCAAUCCCCUGGGCCUGCACUGACGCUCAUGCACGAAAGCGUGGGGAGCAAACAGG